CGUCAAAUCAGCACGGCCCUUACGUUCUGGGCGACACACGUGCUACAAUGGGGGGUACAGAGGGCAGCUACACUGCGAAGUGAUGCGAAUCUCAAAAUCCUCUCUCAGUUCGGAUCGGAGUCUGCAACUCGACUCCGUGAAGUUGGAUUCGCUAGUAAUCGCGCAUCAGCCAUGGCGCGGUGAAUACGUUCCCGGGCCUU
rnacentral:rRNA from 1 species